rnacentral:rRNA from 1 species
UACGUAGGGUGCAAGCGUUUAAUCGGAAUUACUGGGCGUAAAGCGUGCGCAGGCGGUUAUGUAAGACAGGUGUGAAAUCCCCGGGCUUAACCUGGGAACUGCAUUCGAGACUGCAUAGCUAGAGUAUGGGAGAGGGAAGUGGAAUUUCAGGUGUAGCGGUGAAAUGCGUAGAUAUCUGAAGGAACAUCAGUGGCGAAAGCGACUUCCUGGACCAAUACUGACGCUCAUGUGCGAAAGCGUGGGGAGCAAACAGG